UACGUAGGGGGCAAGCGUUGUCCGGAAUCAUUGGGCGUAAAGAGCGUGUAGGCGGUCCGAUAAGUCGGCUGUGAAAGUCAAGGGCUCAACCCUUGAAUGCCGGCCGAUACUGUCGGGCUAGAGUCCGGAAGAGGCGAGUGGAAUUCCUGGUGUAGCGGUGAAAUGCGCAGAUAUCAGGAGGAACACCGAUGGCGAAGGCAGCUCGCUGGGACGGUACUGACGCUGAGGCGCGAAAGCGUGGGGAGCAAACAGG
rnacentral:rRNA from 1 species